CGGGAUGUGGCUCAGUUUGGUAGAGCGCUUGGUUCGGGACUAAGAGGCCGUGGGUCCGAAUCCCACCAUCCCGACCA
rnacentral:tRNA from 1 species